UACGUAGGGCGCAAGCGUUGUCCGGAAUUAUUGGGCGUAAAGAGCUCGUAGGCGGCCAGUUGCGUCCGCUGUGAAAUCCCGGGGCUUAACCCCGGGCGUGCAGUGGAUACGGGCUGGCUAGAGGCAGGCAGGGGAGAACGGAAUUCCCGGUGUGAGCGGUGAAAUGCGCAGAUAUCGGGAGGAACACCGGUGGCGAAGGCGGUUCUCUGGGCCUGUACUGACGCUGAGGAGCGAAAGCGUGGGGAGCAAACAGGAUUAGAACCGUACCGUU
rnacentral:rRNA from 1 species